rnacentral:rRNA from 1 species
GAUGAACGCUGACAGAAUGCUUAACACAUGCAAGUCCACUUGAAUUUGGGUUUUUAACUUAGGUUUGGGUGGCGGACGGGUGAGUAACGCGUAAAGAACUUGCCUCACAGCUAGGGACAACAUUUGGAAACGAAUGCUAAUACCUAAUAUUAUGAUAAUAGGGCAUCCUAUAAUUAUGAAAGCUAUAAGCGCUGUGAGAGAGCUUUGCGUCCCAUUAGCUAGUUGGAGAGGUAACGGCUCACCAAGGCGAUGAUGGGUAGCCGGCCUGAGAGGGUGAUCGGCCAAAAGGGGACUGAGACACGGCCCUUACUACUACGGGAGGCAGCAGUGGGGAAUAUUGGACAAUGGACCGAGAGUCUGAUCCAGCAAUUCUGUGUGCACGAUGAAGUUUUUCGGAAUGUAAAGUGCUUUCAGUUGGGAAGAAACAAAUGACGGUACCAACAGAAGAAGUGACGGCUAAAUACGUG